UACGUAGGGUGCGAGCGUUGUCCGGAAUUAUUGGGCGUAAAGAGCUCGUAGGCGGUGUGUCGCGUCGGCCGUGAAAACCUGGGGCUUAACUCUGGGCGUGCGGUCGAUACGGGCAUCACUAGAGUUCGGCAGGGGAGACUGGAAUUCCUGGUGUAGCGGUGAAAUGCGCAGAUAUCAGGAGGAACACCGGUGGCGAAGGCGGGACUCUGGGCCAGUACUGACGCUGAUGCGCGAAAGCGUGGGGAGCAAACGGG
rnacentral:rRNA from 1 species